UGAUCUCGCAAGAGCAAAGCAGGGGACCGCAAGGCCUUGCGCUUUUGGAGGAGCCUACGUCGGAUUAGCUAGUUGGUAGGGUAAUGGCCUACCAAGGCGACGAUCCGUAGCUGGUCUGAGAGGACGAUCAGCCACACCGGAACUGAGACACGGUCCGGACUCCUACGGGAGGCAGCAGUGGGGAAUAUUGGACAAUGGGCGAAAGCCUGAUCCAGCAAUGCCGCGUGUGUGAAGAAGGCCUUCGGGUUGUAAAGCACUUUGAUCUGGGAAGAAAAAGCUUUGGCUAACAUCCAAAGCCUUUACGGUACCAGAGGAACAAGCACCGGCUAACUCUGUGCCAGCAGCCGCGGUAAUACAGAGGGUGCUAGCGUUAAUCGGAUUUACUGGGCGUAAAGCGUGUGUAGGCGGUUCGUUAAGUCGGAUGUGAAAGCC
rnacentral:rRNA from 1 species